rnacentral:misc_RNA from 1 species
AAAAAAAAAUUAGGUUUUGACUAUUUUUUCGGAUUUUUGCUAAGAUAUUUUUUGACUGAGGUAAAUUUAGUUUUGUCCAAAGCUUGAUUGUUUUUUUUCGGACCGAUAAUUAUACUACAAAAUACAUAAUGAAUGUCCGGAUAGGACAUAUUGGACCUCAUAGAAGGCGAAAACGAAAGUUUGAACUUUCUACACAUCGAGGCUAUAGACUUGGAUAAUUUAUGGUAGAAAGGAAAUAUCUUUUCUACUGUGAAUUUCUGGGUUAUUCUUGUCUACACUUUUCUUCUAUGAAGAAAAGAGAGACAAGUUGCUGGCUCCUGCGGAAGCUCUUUGAGUUACCGUAGCGAGAAAAGAUGGGGAUUGUAUAUUAUUACCUAUCCAGGUAUGAUUACAAACCAAACUCCCGGGCACCUUUAUUGGAGUCCAUCGACUGAUCUGCUAGGAAAAAUUUAUUUUUCUUUGCGUUGAUCGGACGAAAACAGUAGGAUUGCUAAAGGGAAAUUAAAGUAGAUUGUGCAAACGUUCAGCAGUUAUGCAGAAUGUAGUAUGAUCUGCUUUCUCUUUCAAAGGGUUUAUUCUCUUUGGGUAGUCAACUGGUACGCCAUGGAAAAAAAGUGGGCUCUUCUUUGAAGAGUCUCGUCUAAGCUUUCGAGUUUAGGCUAACUUUUUAACCUGAUAGUUACCUGGUUGAUCCUGCCAGUAGUCAUAUGCUUGUCUCAAAGAUUAAGCC